UCACUCUGUGGUCACUCCGACCUUCUUGCCCCAGUGGUCACUCCCUCAGUGUCCAGCAGGGAUCCAGUGGUCACUUCCCACCACUCUGGGGUCACUCCUCACCACUUUGGGGUCACUUCCCACCACUUUGGGGUCACUUUGUGCCACUUUGGGGUCACUCCUCCCCACUCUGGGGUCACUUUGUGCCACUCUGCGGUCACUCCCCACCACUUCGGCGGUCACUCCGCGGUCGCUCCGACCUCCUUCCCACUACCCCAGCGGUCACUCCCUCAGUGUCCAGUGGUCACUUCCCACUGCUCUGGGGUCACUCCUCACAAUUCUGGGGUCACUUUGUGCCACUUUGGGGUCACUUUGCACCACUUCGGGGGGUCACUCCUCCCCACUUCAGUGGUCACUCCGCGGUCACUCUGACCUCCUUCCCACCACCCCAGCGGUCACUCCCUCAGUGUCCAGCAGGGAUCCAGUGUCCAGCGGUCACUCCCCACCACUUUGGGGUCACUUUGUGCCACUCUGGGGUCACUCUGUGCCACUUUGGGGUCACUUUGUGCCACUUUGGGGUCACUUUGUGCCACUUUGGGGUCACUCUGUGCCACUUUGGGGUCACUUUGUGCCACUCUGCGGUCACUCCCCACCACUUCGGUGGUCACUCCGCGGUCGCUCCGACCUCCUUCCCACCACCCCAGCGGUCACUCUCUCAGUGUCCAGCAGGGAU
rnacentral:lncRNA from 1 species